rnacentral:rRNA from 1 species
UACGUAGGGGGCUAGCGUUGUCCGGAAUCAUUGGGCGUAAAGCGCGUGUAGGCGGUCCGGUAAGUCCGCUGUGAAAGUCGGGGGCUCAACCCUCGAAUGCCGGUGGAUACUGUCGGGCUAGAGUGCGGAAGAGGCGAGUGGAAUUCCUGGUGUAGCGGUGAAAUGCGCAGAUAUCAGGAGGAACACCAAUGGCGAAGGCAGCUCGCUGGGACGGUAUUGACGCUGAGACGCGAAAGCGUGGGGAGCAAACAGG